UACGUAGGGGGCAAGCGUUAGCCGGAAUUACUGGGUGUAAAGGGAGCGUAGACGGUAAUGUAAGUCUGGAGUGAAAGGCGGGGGCCCAACCCCCGGACUGCUCUGGAAACUAUGUUACUAGAGUGCAGGAGAGGUAAGCGGAAUUCCUAGUGUAGCGGUGAAAUGCGUAGAUAUUAGGAGGAACACCAGUGGCGAAGGCGGCUUACUGGACUGUAACUGACACUGAGGCUCGAAAGCGUGGGGAGCAAACAGG
rnacentral:rRNA from 1 species